rnacentral:lncRNA from 1 species
GUCUUUGUGUGUGUGUCUUUUUGAUCAGGUCCCACUGCAAUGUGUGGACCAGUGUGAGGCAGCUGUUGUCUAUGGUCAUGACACCUUUGACCCGAUUGAACAUGGACUCGACCCUCUUAUGGUUCCACGGGAGAGUACAGAUGAUCUAUUUGGGACCUAUGAGUGUCAAGAUUUAGGACCUUCGGGCCUCUAGAGGCCGCCAAACCAAGGACUCUAUGCUUGUUUUUGUGUACAUGUGCUUCUUGUUUAUUUCCUGUCUU